AACAUGCCCCAAAGUGAGGAAUAACUGCCCGAAAGGGUAGCUAAUGCCGCAUAUGAUCUUCGGAUUAAAGGAUUUAUCCGCUUUGGGAGUGGCCCGCGUACGAUUAGGUAGUUGGUGAGGUAAAGGCUCACCAAGCCCACGAUCGUUAACUGGUCUGAGAGGAUGAUCAGUCAGACUGGAACUGAGACACGGUCCAGACUCCUACGGGAGGCAGCAGUGAGGAAUCUUCCACAAUGGGCGAAAGCCUGAUGGAGCGACGCCGCGUGCAG
rnacentral:rRNA from 1 species